GACGAACGCUGGCGGCGUGCUUAACACAUGCAAGUCGAACGGAAAGGCCCUGCUUUUGUGGGGUGCUCGAGUGGCGAACGGGUGAGUAACACGUGAGUAACCUGCCCUUGACUUUGGGAUAACUUCAGGAAACUGGGGCUAAUACCGGAUAGGAGCUCCUGCUGCAUGGGGGGGGUUGGAAAGUUUCGGCGGGUGGGGAUGGACUCGCGGCUUAUCAGCUUGUUGGUGGGGGAGUGGCUUACCAAGGCUUUGACGGGUAGCCGGCCUGAGAGGGUGACCGGCCACAUUGGGACUGAGAUACGGCCCAGACUCCUACGGGAGGCAGAAGUGGGGAAUAUUGCACAAUGGGCGGAAGCCUGAUGCAGCAACGCCGCGUGCGGGAUGACGGCCUUCGGGUUGUAAACCGCUUUCGCCUGUGACGAAGCGUGAGUGACGGUAAUGGGUAAAGAAGCACCGGCUAACUACGUG
rnacentral:rRNA from 1 species